UGGCGUGAGACAGUAACACAUAUCUGGCAACUAGGUAUUGUCAAAACACAAUGAUUUUAUCUUCUACUGAUCCUUAACAAAACAAUGGAUUACAGUCACAACAUUUGGUUACAAUAAAUUAAACUGCCAUGUAGCCAUAGAAAUACAUUUGAUGUUUCAAAUGACAGCAACGUGUGUCUAAGAGAACCAGGAAUCCUCUCUUGGUGUUGGAGUGGCUAUAGGUGUGUGUGUGAUGCUGGCUGUUGGUGCCAUCUGUCGUGGUUUGGCGUUCGUCUUCAGGGACAAACUAGCAGACUGCAUAUCAGGAGAAAAGAACACCGGUAGCCCAGAGAUGUCAGUCUUGUCAACCAUACAGGCUCCUGCCACAGUGGUCGCACCUGUUGGAAUCCAAACACCAGGUCAGAUUUUGUCAAUGUACAUUAUCACUGUGCAAGUGUCUAACAGAGCAUAACCAAAAUAGUGACUAAUUAGAUGCUUGGUUGGCAUUUUAGAAGAUGCUAUCUGAUGAACAUAAAGACUUUUCUGUAUUUCAUCUUCUUUUAUUCUUUGAUACAACGUUUCAGGGCCUUACCGGUCGCAUCAUCAGGUAAAACUAA